UACAGAGGGGGCAAGCGUUGUUCGGAAUUACUGGGCGUAAAGGGCGCGUAGGUGGCCUUCUAAGUUGAACGUGAAAUCCCUGGGCUCAACCCAGGAACUGCGUCCAAGACUGGGAGGCUUGAAUCCGGGAGAGGGAUGCGGAAUUCCAGGUGUAGCGGUGAAAUGCGUAGAUAUCUGGAGGAACACCGGUGGCGAAGGCGGCAUCCUGGACCGGUAGUGACACUGAGGCGCGAAAGCCAGGGGAGCAAACGGG
rnacentral:rRNA from 1 species